UAAUUUUUUACAUUUAAUUUGCUUUAAGUUUUUAUCAUAUAUAAAUAACUGAUUUUAAGCUUUUAUUUUACUACAGCUGAUACUUUGAUUAGACGGACUCGUAGAGCCACCAAAAAUGAAAAGUUGGAGGAGUGGAGGAGGGCACAUCCCGAGGAGAGGAUGAUGGUUGUCAUCUCAUCGGACUAUGUCAUGUCACUUUAGUGCCACAUUAGGGAUCGAUACAUAUGCGAGGUUGGCAUCAUUGUCUGAGCAUAUGCUCUCCUAAGGAUAUUCGACUGGCAGAGUGUUUCGAGGCCACAGAAGUAGAUCCUCAACCAUUUAUAGUAUGAUUUUGAUAUCAAGGAGAUUGAUACCCCACGCAUGUGGGAGGCUAUCCUUAGGUAUAUAGAGAGAUUGCUAAAGGGAUUUAGAUAUGAGCUCCAUAGCUAUUGGAAGGAGGUAUUCAGUGCACUUGGGGUGGCGACGGCACGUGAGACACCCCACAGGAAUGUUUCACGCUUCGAUUGGGAUCUCCUCUGCAAUAAGUAUGAGGAUCCUACAUAUCGGGCCUUUUGCGAAAAGAAUACAGCAAACCGAUCGAGGCUCACGGUGAUGUAUUGUGAUAGAUCGAAGUUAUUUAUGUAGCAUUAGUAUGAGCUGGUAAGUACACAUAUAUAUAUCUCUAAUAAUGUUUUAAAAUAUGUGUGUCUGUGUACUUAUAUUCAUAAAUUUUAGAGGAACAUCGAGAUAGGAUAGCUAUCUGGGUGGAUUGACAUCUACCAGAAGAUCCAUCAUCGGGGGACGUGAGAAUGGCUUCCUGGGAUUAGGAAGAGAGGAUGAUGCAUAUACAAUCCCAGCCUAUCACUGAGGGCUCCAUCCCGCCCACAGAUAAUGAUAUUUGUGAUGAGGUGCUUGGUAGGAGAUCCAGUUAUAUUAUGGGGCUGGAAUAUAUGGUUGUGGCUCCUAGCUCCUCUAGAGCACCACAUGUUUCUUGUGAUGCUCAUUUGUGUGAGGCAGAUGCUCGACUGCAUGAGACAGAGAAGAGAUAUGAGAAGGAGAUGUAUCGAGCUAAGGAGGAGCACCGUAAAUCUCAGGAGGAUAUAACGGCCCUACAGCAUGACAAUGUUAAGCUUAGAUCUCAGAUUGCAACAGUUGGAGUGAAGCUCGAUGAGUUAUAUCACCGUAUGUCUCCUCCAU